rnacentral:rRNA from 1 species
CCCUUAGAUGGUCUGGGCGGCACGCGCGCUACAAUGAUGCAUUCAAAAAGUCUUCUGACCUUAGAAGGUUGGGUAUUCUCCAAAGUGCAUCGUGAUGGGAAUAGUUUAUUGCAAUUUUUAAUCUUGAACGAGGAAUUCCUAGUAAGUACAGGUCAUCAACUUGUGUUGAUUACGUCCCUGCCCUUUGUACACACCGCCCGUCGCUCCCACUGAUUGAGUGUCUCGGUGAAUUCUUUGAUCUUCUGUCGAUUCAGUUCACUGAUCCGACGGUGGAAAGUUGAAUGAACUUCGUCACUUAGAGGAAGGAGAAGUCGUAACA